rnacentral:rRNA from 1 species
GACGAACGCUGGCGGCGUGCUUAACACAUGCGAGUCGAACGGAAAGGCCCUGCUUUUGUGGGGUGCUCGAGUGGCGAACGGGUGAGUAACACGUGAGUAACCUGCCCUUGACUUUGGGAUAACUUCAGGAAACUGGGGCUAAUACCGGAUAGGAGCUCCUGCUGCAUGGUGGGGGUUGGAAAGUUUCGGCGGUUGGGGAUGGACUCGCGGCUUAUCAGCUUGUUGGUGGGGGAGUGGCUUACCAAGGCUUUGAAGGGUAGCCGGCCUGAGAGGGUGACCGGCCACAUUGGGACUGCGAUACGGCCCAGACUCCUACGGGAGGCAGCAGUGGGGAAUAUUGCACAAUGGGCGGAAGCCUGAUGCAGCAACGCCGCGUGCGGGAUGACGGCCUUCGGGUUGUAAACCGCUUUCGCCUGUGACGAAGCGUGAGUGACGGUAAUGGGUAAAGAAGCACCGGCUAACUACGUG